CACGUAGGGGGCGAGCGUUGUCCGGAAUCAUUGGGCGUAAAGAGCUCGUAGGCGGCUCAGUAAGUCGGGUGUGAAACCCCCAGGCUCAACCUGGAGACGCCACCCGAUACUGCUGUGGCUAGAGUCCAGUAGGGGAGUGUGGAAUUCCCGGUGUAGCGGUGAAAUGCGCAGAUAUCAGGAGGAACACCGGUGGCGAAGGCGGAUCUCUGGGCCUUACCUGACGCUCAGGCGCGAAAGCUAGGGGAGCGAACAGG
rnacentral:rRNA from 1 species